UAUUUAGGAUUGAUUAGGGUUCGAUUUAGUGUUAGAGUUAAGAUUUUGGUUUGAUUUAAGGUUUGGUUAGGAUUAGAAUUAGGAUUUUUGAUUUGAUUUAAGAUUUGGUUAGGAUUAGAAUUAGGAUUUUUGAUUUGAUUUAAGAUUUGGUUAGGAUUAGGAUUUGAUUUAGGUUAGGAUUUGAUUUAGAUUUGUAUAGAGUUUGACUAAGAUUUGUUUAGGAUUUGAUUAGGGCUUAUUUAAGGUUUGUCUAGGAUUUGACUAGGAUUUAUUUAAGAUUUAGUUAGAAUUUUUUGAGAUUUUUUUAGAAUUUGAUUAGAAUUUGUUAGAAUUUGACUAGGAUUUGACUAGGAUUUGAUUAGGAAUUAUUUAUAUUUGUCUAAGAUUUGAUAAGUAUUUAUUUAGGAUUUGACUAGGAUUUAUUUAGAAUUUGACUGGAAUUUAUUUAGUAUUUUAUUAGGAUUUGGUUAGGAAUUAUUUAAAAUUUGAUUAAAAUUUGAUUAGAAUUUAUUUAAGAUUUGUAUAGGAUUUGAUUAGAAUUUAUUUAAGAUUUGAUUAGGAUUUAUUUAGGAUUUAUUUAGGGUUUGAUUAGGAUUUUAGUAAGAUUUGACUAGGAUUUAAUUAGGAUUUUUAAGAUUUUUCUAGGAUUUGGUUAGGCUUUAUUUAGGAAUUGAUUAAGAUUUGAUAAGAAUUUGACCAAGAUUUAAUUAAGAUUUGACUAGA
rnacentral:lncRNA from 1 species